rnacentral:rRNA from 1 species
UCAGAUUGAACGCUGGCGGCAGGCCUAACACAUGCAAGUCGAGCGGUAACAGAAAGUAGCUUGCUACUUUGCUGACGAGCGGCGGACGGGUGAGUAAUGCUUGGGAACAUGCCUUGAGGUGGGGGACAACAGUUGGAAACGACUGCUAAUACCGCAUAAUGUCUACGGACCAAAGGGGGCUUCGGCUCUCGCCUUUAGAUUGGCCCAAGUGGGAUUAGCUAGUUGGUGAGGUAAUGGCUCACCAAGGCGACGAUCCCUAGCUGGUUUGAGAGGAUGAUCAGCCACACUGGGACUGAGACACGGCCCAGACUCCUACGGGAGGCAGCAGUGGGGAAUAUUGCACAAUGGGCGCAAGCCUGAUGCAGCCAUGCCGCGUGUGUGAAGAAGGCCUUCGGGUUGUAAAGCACUUUCAGUCAGGAGGAAAGGUUAGUAGUUAAUACCUGUUAGCUGUGACGUUACUGACAGAAGAAGCACCGGCUAACUCCGUGCCAGCAGCCGCGGUAAUACGGAGGGUGCGAGCGUUAAUCGGAAUUACUGGGCGUAAAGCGUACGCAGGCGGUUUGUUAAGCGAGAUGUGAAAGCCCCGGGCUCAACCUGGGAACUGCAUUUCGAACUGGCAAACUAGAGUGUGAUAGAGGGUGGUAGAAUUUCAGGUGUAGCGGUGAAAUGCGUAGAGAUCUGAAGGAAUACCGAUGGCGAAGGCAGCCACCUGGGUCAACACUGACGCUCAUGUACGAAAGCGUGGGGAGCAAACGGGAUUAGAUACCCCGGUAGUCCACGCCGUAAACGAUGUCUACUAGAAGCUCGGAGCCUCGGUUCUGUUUUUCAAAGCUAACGCAUUA